CAUUCUUGAGAGAUGGUAAUGACGUAGGCCUGCUUACUUGGGUUUGGCAAUGCGUUAAAAUUUUACAACCGGCCACCAUCAGCCCAACAACCCACAACUUCCUGGCUCUACACAGUCACUGUCUCUCGAAUGCCUGAACUCCUGCAUGACGCCGUUCCUGUCACCGCCUUAACUCGCUAAACAUGUCUUUGUUGAGUCCUGGUCAGAGACAAAGAAAAUCACCUCGAUACGGUAUUCCCUGUGGUCAAACUGGUUCAAAAUAAAUUUUUGUCAUAUUUGCUGAAACUUUCACUAUAUCCUUACAGUAGUACAUGGGACAGAUCAUCUGUGAAACAAUCAGGAGCCAGACACGCUGAAGAACAUUUAGGCUCUAUUCAAAAAAGCAGAUUGAAUACAUUUUCUAUAUAACUCACUUACAUAACUAAAUAUAACCCAGAAUAUGGAUUCGUGCAAAAAGUACUAACUGCUUCGUGGAACAUGGUUCAGAUUUGGUGUUUAGAUAUCAGCUUAUAAGCUAUUGGUAGUAUCUGAUUGGCUAAUGCUGAACCUGUUGUAGUACGUUUCAUUUGCACACAACCAGCAGCUCAUCUUAACCUUGCUUGUUAAGCUGCUUUUCUGAAUAAACCUGCAUGCUAUAUAUCUAGCUAACUUUCCCAGAAAUCAGUUCUGGUUUGUUGCGCUGACACCGCUGAAGCUACAUCCUGCAGUGUUUUGGUGUCAAGGCCCAAAGAUAAGACACUUAUGAUACAAUAACGUCAGUUUGAAAGGAAAUCCCCUUUCCACUGAAAGCAGCUUAGCUAACUUUGUAACACAAAGACCUUGCCUCUGCAGAAAUCUCUCUUCUCUCCCAUUUGUAUUUCUGUUGCUACAAAACUCACACACAAAAGAAAUUCAUGUGCAUUUGGAUACAUAUUAAAAGGUCCAGUGUGUAACAUUUAGGAUACUGGCGCAGAACCAACCCAAAUAUGGGCCCAUAUGCAUUUCUGUGCGUGUUUCGCUGCAACCGUAGUUUCACCCUCAGGGUUGGAAAGGGAGGGUGAAACCAGGGACUACACCAUUAGAUGCCACUAAAUCCUACACACUGGACAGCAGGGUUCCUCUCCUGUUUAUGGUAAACCCUGAGGGCCUUUGGGCUGGGCUCAGACAUGAGCACAGGACUUUUGACAGAUGACAAAAAAGUUCCAGCUAGAACACCACAACAGUAGACACAGGCUGAGGCGUACGCGGGGCACCUGACACAAGAAUUGUACAAGACUGUUGAGGAAGUGUAAAAGGUUGAGACACUCAGCUGACACACACUGGAUGUAUUACAGCAGGGAUACUCAUCUUGCUUUUCCCGGGGCUACUUUUGCAAAAUGACAGGGGCCAGUGGCCAGCUAAUAAACAAAUAUUAGACUUAUCAGAACAUUAAAAGGCCCAUAACUCAUCUUUCUUAGAAAUUCUUUAUUUUCAAAUUAACUAAUUAACUAAAUUAACUUGGUACAAGGAUUGACAUUAGGCCUAUAUAACAGAUAAAUCGGAUAUUUUACUGCAUAUAAUAUCUGCGACUGCAUGUGAAUGCUUACAUAUACAUAGCUGGAACCUCUUCCAUCAUGCAAUCACUCAAACGUUGGAAUGAUUCAUAAACAUAAACCAUUUUUAAAAUUGCUUUUAAUGUUUAGCUUAGUCUGAUGUGUUCUUAUUGUUUUACUAUUUGAUGUUGUUUUGCUGCUUUUAUGUUUUUAUGUAAAGUGUCUUUGAGUAUUUAGAAAGCGCUUAUAAAUAAAAUGUAUUAUAAACUGCUAUUUCCAGGGACAGAAUAGCAUAUUUAAGCUCCUUUAGUGUGUGUGGCUAAUAUACUUUUGCAAGUAACAGCCAAUUGAGGAUUUACUAAUGACAAGAAAACCUCCAGUGUAAAUCUAUUUAUUUUCAUUGAUUCCGCCUGUGGGCCGCAAGUUGUGUAUCACUGUUGUACAGUAUUUUUCAGUUACUGUGGCUCAGUUUUCACAACUGAGUUUCAAUUUUGCAAAAGUCUGAACAUAGAAUGUUCAGACUCUUACAAAAGGAACUUAUCUUUAGGUGAUGAGGUAAUACAUAACGCAGCAUGUUUAUCAGAGUUUAUUGUGUUUAUUAAUAAAUCAAUGUUGCGUUUUAUAGUAAAAUUAUCAUUAUCAAAUAAUGUUGUCAAACAAACCAAAUAAUACAAAUAUUAACUUUAUCUAUAUAGCACCUUUUAAGUGUUUCCAGGAAAAAAAGAAACAUACCUACAAAUAAAAGCAAUGAGCUCCCAAACUUAAGACACAAACAAGAUAAGCUCAUUUAAUAGAUAGAUAGGCUUUAGAAGGGAUUUAAAAGAGGACACUGGGUUUGCCUAUCAGAGAUCACUACAGUCUACAGUGGUCAUUUCCUUUGUGGUAAUGCAAUUUAAAGGUCCAGUGUGUAACAUUUAGGAGGAUCUAUUGGGAGAAAUAGAAUAUAUUAUUCAUACAUUUUAAUUCUAAAAGUAAGAAUUGUUAUGUUUUUUGUGACUUUAGAAUAAGCCUUGCUCUGGAUGGGGCCGUUUUUCUCACAUUCGCAGCCACCAUAGUUUCUUCUUCUUGUUUGGAAGGGGAAGGUGAAGCGAGGCGAGUUGCAAUCUGCAACCUCAUCGAUAGAUGCCAUUAAAUCCUACACACUGGACUUUUAAGUAGGAGUCAAUGUUUGAGUAAGAAGGACAUUUGAAAACUUUAAGUUUGUUUAUUGUAAAUGCUGUCUGACUGUAAGUACAGAUGAUGGUGUCUGACGUUACCCUGCAGUAAAUCCUACAUUCAUGCAAGACAAAAUGAAACUGCCUCAGUUUACUGUUUUUAUUCAUACCUUGGAUGUUUAGUUUAAUCAUUGAAAAUGGGAUAAGCUAUAGUAAUACUGUAUUGUGAUGCUGGAAAGCAUGUAACAUGAAACCGCAAUUUGAAACAGACACAUUCUAAUAGUAAUGGGAAAGAAAGAAA